CCUACGGGAGGCAGCAGUGGGGAAUAUUGGGCAAUGGGCGCAAGCCUGACCCAGCAACGCCGCGUGAAGGAAGAAGGCUUUCGGGUUGUAAACUUCUUUUUUCAGGGACGAAGCAAGUGACGGUACCUGACGAAUAAGCCACGGCUAACUACGUGCCAGCAGCCGCGGUAAUACGGAGGCGGCAAGCGUUAUCCGGAUUUACUGGGUGUAAAGGGCGUGUAGGCGGGACUGCAAGUCAGAUGUGAAAACCACGGGCUCAACCUGUGGCCUGCAGUUGAAACUGGAGUUCUUGAGUGCUGGAGAGGCAGGCGGAAUUCCUGGUGUAGCGGUGAAAUGCGUAGAUAUUAGGAGGAACACCAGUGGCGAAGGCGGUCUGCUGGACAGCAACUGACGCUGAGGCGCGAAAGCGUGGGGAGCAAACAGGAUUAGAUACCCUUGUAGUC
rnacentral:rRNA from 1 species